rnacentral:rRNA from 1 species
UACGUAGGGUGCAAGCGUUGUCCGGAAUUAUUGGGCGUAAAGAGCUCGUAGGUGGUUUGUCGCGUCGGCUGUGAAAACCCCGAGGCUCAACCUCGGGCCUGCAGUCGAUACGGGCAAACUAGAGUGCGGUAGGGGGAGACUGGAAUUCCUGGUGUAGCGGUGAAAUGCGCAGAUAUCAGGAGGAACACCGGUGGCGAAGGCAGCUUGCUGGGCCAUUUCUGACGCUAAGGCACGAAAAGCGUGGGGGAGCGAACAGG